rnacentral:rRNA from 1 species
AUUGAACGCUGGCGGCAUGCCUUACACAUGCAAGUCGAACGGCAGCGGACCUUCGGGUGCCGGCGAGUGGCGAACGGGUGAGUAAUAUAUCGGAACGUACCUUUCAGUGGGGGAUAACGUAGCGAAAGUUACGCUAAUACCGCAUAUUCUGUGAGCAGGAAAGCAGGGGAUCGCAAGACCUUGCGCUGAUUGAGCGGCCGAUAUCAGAUUAGCUAGUUGGUGAGGUAAAGGCUCACCAAGGCGACGAUCUGUAGCGGGUCUGAGAGGAUGAUCCGCCACACUGGAACUGAGACACGGUCCAGACUCCUACGGGAGGCAGCAGUGGGGAAUUUUGGACAAUGGGCGCAAGCCUGAUCCAGCCAUGCCGCGUGAGUGAAGAAGGCCUUCGGGUUGUAAAGUACGUCUUUCGGUCCGGGUAAGGAAA